AUUGAACGCUGGCGGCAGGCUUAACACAUGCAAGUCGAACGAUGAUUUCCCAGCUUGCCGGGAAUGAUUAGUGGCGGACGGGUGAGUAACAUUUAGGAAUCUGCCUAGUAGUGGGGGAUAGCUCGGGGAAACUCGAAUUAAUACCGCAUACGACCUACGGGUGAAAGGGGGCGCAAGCUCUUGCUAUUAGAUGAGCCUAAAUCAGAUUAGCUAGUUGGUGGGGUAAAGGCCCACCAAGGCGACGAUCUGUAACUGGUCUGAGAGGAUGAUCAGUCACACCGGAACUGAGACACGGUCCGGACUCCUACGGGAGGCAGCAGUGGGGAAUAUUGGACAAUGGGGGCAACCCUGAUCCAGCCAUGCCGCGUGUGUGAAGAAGGCCUUUUGGUUGUAAAGCACUUUAAGCAGGGAGGAGAGGCUAAUGGUUAAUACCCAUUAGAUUAGACGUUACCUGCAGAAUAAGCACCGGCUAACUCUGUGCCAGCAGCCGCGGUAAUACAGAGGGUGCGAGCGUUAAUCGGAAUUACUGGGCGUAAAGCGAGUGUAGGUGGCUCAUUAAGUCACAUGUGAAAUCCCCGGGCUUAACCUGGGAACUGCAUGUGAUACUGGUGGUGCUAGAAUAUGUGAGAGGGAAGUAGAAUUCCAGGUGUAGCGGUGAAAUGCGUAGAGAUCUGGAGGAAUACCGAUGGCGAAGGCAGCUUCCUGGCAUAAUAUUGACACUGAGAUUCGAAAGCGUGGGUAGCAAACAGGAUUAGAUACCCUGGUAGUCCACGCCGUAAACGAUGUCUACUAGCCGUUGGGGUCCUUGAGACUUUAGUGGCGCAGUUAACGCGAUAAGUAGACCGCCUGGGGAGUACGGCCGCAAGGUUAAAACUCAAAUGAAUUGACGGGGGCCCGCACAAGCGGUGGAGCAUGUGGUUUAAUUCGAUGCAACGCGAAGAACCUUACCUGGUCUUGACAUAGUGAGAAUCUCUCAGAGAUGAGAGAGUGCCUUCGGGAACUCACAUACAGGUGCUGCAUGGCUGUCGUCAGCUCGUGUCGUGAGAUGUUGGGUUAAGUCCCGCAACGAGCGCAACCCUUUUCCUUAUUUGCCAGCGGGUUAAGCCGGGAACUUUAAGGAUACUGCCAGUGACAAACUGGAGGAAGGCGGGGACGACGUCAAGUCAUCAUGGCCCUUACGACCAGGGCUACACACGUGCUACAAUGGUAGGUACAGAGGGUUGCUACACAGCGAUGUGAUGCUAAUCUCAAAAAGCCUAUCGUAGUCCGGAUUGGAGUCUGCAACUCGACUCCAUGAAGUCGGAAUCGCUAGUAAUCGCGGAUCAGAAUGCCGCGGUGAAUACGUUCCCGGGCCU
rnacentral:rRNA from 1 species